rnacentral:rRNA from 1 species
UACGGAAGGCAGCAGUGGGGAAUAUUGCACAAUGGGCGAAAGCCUGAUGCAGCUAUGCCGCGUGUAUGAAGAAGGCCUUAGGGUUGUAAAGUACUUUCAUCGGGGAGGAAAAAACAAAACUAAUAAUUUUAUUUCUUGACGUUACCCGAAAAAGAAGCACCGGCUAACUCCGUGCCAGCAGCCGCGGUAAUACGGAGGGUGCUAGCGUUAAUCAGAAUUACUGGGCGUAAAGAGCACGUAGGUGGUUUUUUUAAAGUCAGAUGUGAAAUCCCUGGGCUUAACCUAGGAACUGCAUUUUGAAACUGAAAUACUAGAGUAUCGUAGAGGGAGGUAGAAUUCUAGGUGUAGCGGUGAAAUGCGUAGAUAUCUGGAGGAAUACCUGUGGCGAAAGCGGCCUCCUAAACGAAUACUGACACUGAGGGUGCGAAAGCGUGG